AUUAGAAACACAACAGACUGGAGUGUUUAUCCUGAUCAGUGGAGAAAGGACUUCACAGAUAUUUCUAAAAGCCAAGCUGAGAACUAAUGUCAUGGUGCUGGCUGCAGCCAUUGUGCUAUGGAUUGAAAUGACCUCUGGAAACCCACUCAGAAUGUCUUGGCCAGUCAAGGUUUACAAUGAAAAAAUUGAAGAGAACACACUAUGAAUCUGCCUCUGUUACUUCGCAAAAGCAGCACGGUCUCUACCCUGUGUACAAAGAACAUCCGUCAAAAUGAAUGCAAUGGCCUGACAGGGAGA
rnacentral:lncRNA from 1 species